CCCUUAGAUGUUCUGGGCCGCACGCGCGCUACACUGAUGCAUUCAACGAGUCUAAAACCUGCUCUGAUAGGGGUGGGUAAUCUUUUGAAUGUGCAUCGUGAUUGGGAUAGAUGAUUGCAAUUUUUCAUCUUCAACGAGGAAUGCCUAGUAAACGCAAGUCAUCAGCUUGCAUUGAUUACGUCCCUGCCCUUUGUACACACCGUCCGUCGCUCCUACCGAUUGAAUGAUCCGAUGAAUAUCAUGGAUUGAGGAUGCAAGUAGGUUCGCCUAUCUUCAUCUUCGAGAAGUGAAGUAAAUCUUAUCAUUUAGAGGAAGGAGAAGUCGUAACA
rnacentral:rRNA from 1 species